rnacentral:rRNA from 1 species
CGUGAGCAACCUUCCGAAAUAUGGGGGAUAGCCGGCCUAACGGCCGAGUAAUACCGCAUACGCUCUCGAUGAGGCAUUUCAUUGAGAGGAAACCUCCGGGGUAUUUCGAGGGGCUCGCGGCCUAUCAGCUAGUUGGCGAGGUCAUGGCUCACCAAGGCGACGACGGGUAGCUGGUCUGAGAGGAUGGCCAGCCACAUUGGGACUGAGAAACGGCCCAG